rnacentral:rRNA from 1 species
UAGGGAAUCUUCGGCAAUGGACGAAAGUCUGACCGAGCAACGCCGCGUGAGUGAAGAAGGUUUUCGGAUCGUAAAACUCUGUUGUUAGAGAAGAACAAGGAGGUUAGUAACUGAACGUCCCCUGACGGUAUCUAACCAGAAAGCCACGGCUAACUACGUGCCAGCAGCCGCGGUAAUACGUAGGUGGCAAGCGUUGUCCGGAUUUAUUGGGCGUAAAGCGAGCGCAGGCGGUUUCUUAAGUCUGAUGUGAAAGCCCCCGGCUCAACCGGGGAGGGUCAUUGGAAACUGGGAGACUUGAGUGCAGAAGAGGAGAGUGGAAUUCCAUGUGUAGCGGUGAAAUGCGUAGAUAUAUGGAGGAACACCAGUGGCGAAGGCGGCUCGCUGGUCUGUAACUGACGCUGAGGCUCGAAAGCGUGGGGAGCAAACAGG